rnacentral:rRNA from 1 species
UACGUAGGGUGCGAGCGUUAAUCGGAAUUACUGGGCGUAAAGCGUGCGCAGGCGGUUUUGUAAGCCAGAUGUGAAAUCCCCGGGCUUAACCUGGGAAUGGCAUUUGGGACUGCAAGGCUUGAGUGCGGCAGGGGAGACUGGAAUUCCUGGUGUAGCAGUGAAAUGCGUAGAUAUCAGGAGGAACACCGAUGGCGAAGGCAGGUCUCUGGGCUGACACUGACGCUCAUGCACGAAAGCGUGGGAGCAACAGG